UAUGAUUAGUGGCGGACGGGUGAGUAACAUUUAGGAAUCUACCUAGUAUGGGGGAGUAGCUCGGGGAAACUCGAAUUAAUACCGCAUACGACCUACGGGUGAAAGGGGGCGGCAAGCUCUUGCUAUUAGAUGAGCCUAAAUCAGAUUAGCUAGUUGGUGGGGUAAAGGCCCACCAAGGCGACGAUCUGUAACUGGUCUGAGAGGAUGAUCAGUCACACCGGAACUGAGACACGGUCCGG
rnacentral:rRNA from 1 species